UACGAAGGGGGCGAGCGUUGUUCGGAAUUACUGGGCGUAAAGGGCGCGCAGGCGGCGCCGGAAGUCGGGCGUGAAAGCCCCGGGCUCAACCUGGGAAUUGCGCUUGAUACUCCGGUGCUGGAGUUCGGGAGAGGAGAGUGGAAUUCCCAGUGUAGAGGUGAAAUUCGUAGAUAUUGGGAAGAACACCGGUGGCGAAGGCGGCUCUCUGGACCGAGACUGACGCUGAGGCGCGAAAGCGUGGGGAGCAAACAGG
rnacentral:rRNA from 1 species